rnacentral:rRNA from 1 species
GAUGAACGCUGGCGGCGUGCCUAAUACAUGCAAGUCGAGCGAGGCGGCGGAUGGGAGAGUAACGCGUGGGUAACCUGACCUUAAGUCGGCGACAACAUUUGGAAACAGAUGCUAACACCGGAUACUUAGGGAUGGAACUGCGAUGAAUUAGCUAGUGGGUAAGGUAACUGCUUACCAAGGCGAUGAUGCAUAGCCGGUUUGAGAGACUGAUCGGCCACAUUGGGACUGAGACACGGCCCAACCUCCUACGUGAGGCAGCAGUAGGGAAUCUUCCACAAUGGACGAAAGUCUGAUGGAGCAACGCCGCGUGAGUGAAGAAGGUUUUCGGAUCGUAAAGCUCUGUUGUUGGUGAAGCGGUAAUCAACCAGAAAGUCACGGCUAACUACGUGCCAGCCGCCGCGGUAAUUC